CUUCGUCAAAACAAGAUGAAAAAGUUACUUUUGUUGCUUCUUUCCUGUCAUUUGUCAUCUGCAGUGAAACACUCCUUGAGGUUUUUCUUAACUGCUUCAUCUGGAGUCCCGAAUCUGUCAGAGUUCAUGGCUGCUGCAGUGGUUGAUGACCUUUUGGUGGGUUACUGCGACACCAACAAAAAGAUAGCAGAACCAAAACAGGACUGGGCCAAAGAAUUAUUAGAAAAUGAUCCUCAGCACUUGGAGUGGUACACUCGACAGUGUCUUGAAAAUGAACCUAAUUUCCUCAAAGCCACAAUUCACAGUUUGAAGCAGCGCUUCAACCAAAGUGGAGGUGACCACAUUCUACAGAGGAUGUUUGGCUGUGAGUGGGACGAUGAGACUGGAGAGGAUAAUGCUUUCAAUCAGUACGGUUAUAAUGGAGAAGACUUCCUAGCGUUGGACCUGAAGACACUGACAUGGGUCGCUCCGAAACCACAGGCUGUCAUCACCAAACUGAGAUGGGACACUGAGAAAGUUAGACUUAAAUACUAUGAGAUGUACCUCACAAACAUUUGUCCUGAGUGGCUGAAGAUGUAUUUGGCAUUUGGAAAGAGCUCCCUGCAGAGAAAAGCCCUUCCCUCAGUGUCUCUCCUCCAGAAGUCUCCCUCCUCUCCACUCAGCUGCCACGCUACAGGUUUCUACCCUGACAGAGCCAUGAUGUUCUGGAGGAAAGAUGGAGAGGAGAUUCAUGAGGACGUGGAGAUCGGAGAGAUCCUCCCCAACCAUGAUGGAUCCUUCCAGAUGAGUGUUGACCUGAACCUUUCAUCAGUCCCACCUGAAGACUGGAGGAGGUACGACUGUGUGUUUCAUCUCUCUGGUGUGAAGGACGACAUCGUCACCAAACUGGACAAAGCAGUGAUCAGGACCAACAUGGUUUCUCUCUCACAGUUUCCUGCUGGUGCUGUGAUUGGAGUUGUUGUAGGACUGCUUCUGACUCUCUGCAUCACUGGGCUCUUCAUCUGGAGUAGAAACAAUAAUGCUUCAAACUCAUCGCCAUUGGACAAAAAGUCAGUUCCCAAAUGAUGAGUGACCGUGAACCUCAAGGGUGCAGAAGAAAGUUACAGCCUAAGCAUGAAAAGCCAAGCCACUGUCCCAAGAUGCUUCAAAACCUCCACCAUUAUCCCUGUGGCCAAAAAAAUCGGACGUAUCCCGCCUUCACUUCACACUUCACUCGGUCCUGUCUCAUCUGGACCGUACAAACACCUUCGCCAGGAUCCUGUACAUGGACUCAAGUUCAGAGUUUAACACCAUAAUUCCCCAGAGACUAACAGAUAAGCUGCUUCAACUUGGCAUCAACACCACCACCUGUCCCUUGAUCCUGGACUUUCUGACUGAGAGACCUCAGUCACUCCGAGUUGGUAACAUGACCUCCAACACAAUCACGCUGAGCACAGGAUCCCCUCAAGGAUGUGUACUCAGCCCUUUGCUGUCUACACUGCUUACACAUGACUGUGUAGCAAGACACCAGGGGCACCUGAUUUUCAAGUUUGCGGAUGACACCACAGUUGUUGGGCUCAUCCACAUGGACAAUGAAGGCAUGUACAGGGACAAGCUUUUUCAGAGCUGAUGCAGGAACAGGGCUCUGAGCAUCAUCGGGGAUCCUUCACACCCUCUCCUCAGGCUUUUUGAACUGCUGCCAUCAGGCAAACACUACCGCAGCAUCAAAUCUGGGACCAGUACUUCUUAACAGCUUCCUCCCACAGGCUGUCAGGGUGCUAAACAGUUAAACUGGCCUCUCUGCUCCAUGCACCUUAUACAUAGUGCACAGCACUGCACAUGGCCACUGCCAAUUGUCACUUUUUCUGAAAAUGGUCACUGCUGAUGUGUGAUGUGUGAGUGUCAUACUAGACUUUUAGUUUGUGAUUUAUUGCUGGAUAGUUAGGGGUUUUCAUUGAUGUAUAUUUUAUGGUAUUCAUAUUUAUUAAUUUCGUGUUGGAAUGACCCCCGCAAACACUAUUUCGUUUUACCUGCAUUACUGUUGUAUGUUUGGUGAGAUGACAAUUAAAGCCUGGUUUGAUUUGA